rnacentral:misc_RNA from 1 species
CAACCCUCAAGUACGGCUUGGUGUUGGGUAAGGUCCCUAGGGGGACCCACCCUUAACUCGUAGGCGGUCGUCGCUCAUACUUCUAGCGUAGCAGGCUCACGCACUCGCUCGGGGAUGAACGUGUGAUCAUGCCUUACAAAAAGCCCUUUUCAAG